rnacentral:piRNA from 1 species
UGAGACUGGAUUUCCUCUGGAGA